rnacentral:rRNA from 1 species
GAUGAACGCUGGCGGCGUGCCUAAUACGUGCAAGUCGAACGAAGAUCUAGCUUGCUAGAUCUUAGUGGCGAACGGGUGAGUAAUACAUAAAUAAUCUGCCCAUAUGACUGGGAUAACUAUUGGAAACGAUAGCUAAUACCGGAUAGGUUGAUUGGAGGCAUCUCUGAUUAAUUAAAGUAGGAUUUCUACACAAAUGGAUGAGUUUAUGGCGCAUUAGUUAGUUGGUGGGGUAACGGCCUACCAAGACGAUGAUGCGUAGCCGACCUGAGAGGGUGACCGGCCACACUGGGACUGAGACACGGCCCAGACUCCUACGGGAGGCAGCAGUAGGGAAUUUUCGGCAAUGGGCGCAAGCCUGACCGAGCAACGCCGCGUGAGUGAUUAAGGCCUUCGGGUUGUAAAGCUCUGUUGUAAGGGAAGAACAUUCAGGAUAGGAAAUGAUCUUGAACUGACGGUACCUUACCAGAAAGCCACGGCUAACUACGUGCCAGCAGCCGCGGUAAAAC